ensembl:lncRNA
AUGCACAAGCUAGGCCUAUUUGAAACAUCACAAUCUCCUGGCAGCAUUUACCUGACAGUGUCAUGCCUGUUCCCGCUCCUCCUCGCUAGUGCUCGACCUGACAGUGUCACGCACACCUGUCACCAUCAUUACGCGCAUCAGCGCUCGCUGGACUCACCUGGACUUCACCUGGACUUUUUGUUUUCCCCUGUCCAGACACUGUCCGUAUUCUGUUCCUGUCCGUGUUUCAUUAAAUGUUCCCUCCCUGUAAUUGCUUCUUGUCUCCAGCGUCAUUCCUUUUACACAUUUUUGAAGCAUCAGGGAGGGUUUUGUUUUUUGUUGAAGACGUCAGGCCCGGGUGCCGCUGCCGUAGGAACCCGGGGGUGCCUCAGCUGGCUCAUCGGGCUUCCAAGCCUUUGCCGACUCGAGAGGUUUCAUUGCCUCGGUUGGCUCGGCAAGCGCCCAUCCCACGUCAUGCCUCAGCCGGAUCGUCGGGCUCCACGCCUCAGCCGGCUCAUCAGGCUCCCAAACCUCAGCGGGAUUGUCAGGCUUUCACGCCUCUGCCGGGUCGUCGGGCUCCACGCCUCAGCCGGCUCAUCAGGCUCCCACGCCUCAGCGGGAUUGUCAGGCUUUCACGCCUCUGUCGGAUCGUCAGGCUCUACGCCUCAGCUGGCUCAUCAGGCUCCCACGCCUCAGCGGGAUUGUCAGGCUUUCACGCCUCUGCCGGAUCGUCGGGCUCCCACGCCUCCGCCGGCUCGCCGGGCUUCUACGCCUCAGCCGGCUUGUCCACCGCCCACAUCUCGGCCGGCCCGUCAGGCUCACCCACGUGGGACGCCGGGUUGCGCCCCUAGGGGGAAGGGGGGGGCCUCUUCCCGCUCUUCCUCUCUGGCGCUACAGGGCGCCAGGCUGCCCAUCAUUACCCACACCUGUCACCAUCAUUAUGCACAUCAGCGCUCGCUGGACUCACCUGGACUCCAUUACAUUUUUGAUUGCCCCUCUUAUAUCUGUUUGUUCCUCUGUUAG